rnacentral:ribozyme from 1 species
AAAAAAAAAAAAGAAAAAAGAAAAAAAAAAAAAAAAAGAAGAAAGCGGGCAAAAAGAUCCAACUACAACAGUGCGCCAUCGCGCCAUCUCGACUUUUUCUUUUUUUUUGUUCGCACCUUUCGCUGCAUUUUGCGCGGUAAGAGCGAAGAGAGAAGAGGGAAGAGAGGAAAGUGACGUUGUCCUCCCGUCCUUCCACUCUUUUUUCUUCCUGUUUUCAAAAAAACAAAACAAAACAAAACAAAAAA